rnacentral:misc_RNA from 1 species
GAUGAAGAACGUAGCGAAAUGCGAUAAGUAAUGUGAAUUGCAGAAUUCAGUGAAUCAUCGAAUCUUUGAACGCACAUUGCGCCCCUCGGUAUUCCGAGGGGCAUGCCUGUUCGAGCGUCAUUAUAACCCUUCAAGCUCAGCUUGGUGUUGGGGCCUGCUGUAACUGGUAGCCCUUAAAAUCAGUGGCAGUGCUAUUAGGCUCUAAGCGUAGUAAUUCUUCUCGCUAUAGUGUGUAGUGAGCGCUUGCCAGAACCCAAAACUUUUAUAUGAUUGACCUCGGAUCAGGUAGGGAUACCCGCUGAACUUAAGCAUAUCAAUAAGCGGAGGA